rnacentral:sRNA from 1 species
GCUGGGCAUGGUGGCACAUGCCUGUAAUCCCAGUGACCGGGGAGGCUGAGGCAGGAGGAUCAUAAGUUCAAGACCAGCCUCAGCAACCAAGUGAGGCCCUAAGCAAUUUAGUGAAACCCUGCCUCAA